GAUGAAACGCUGGCGGCGUGCUUAAACACAUGCAAGUCGAACGGGAAUUACUUUAUUGAAACUUCGGUCGAUUUAAUUUAAUUCUAGUGGCGGACGGGUGAGUAACGCGUGGGUAAACCUGCCUUAAUACGAGGGGGAUAACAGUCAGAAAAUGACUGCUAAUACCGCAUAAGCGCACGGAACCGCAUGGUUCUGUGUAGAAAAAACUCCGGUGGUAUAAGAUGGACCCGCGUUGGAUUAGCUUGUUGGUGAGGUAACGGCUCACCAAGGCGACGAUCCAUAGCCGGCCUGAGAGGUGAACGGCCACAUUGGGACUGAGACACGGCCCAGACUCCUACGGGAGGCAGCAGUGGGGAAUAUUGCACAAUGGGGAAACCCUGAUGCAGCGACGCCGCGU
rnacentral:rRNA from 1 species